rnacentral:rRNA from 1 species
GAUGAACGCUGGCGGCGUGCAUAACACAUUCAAGUCGAACGAAGUAAUGAGGUGCUUGCACCGAGUUACUUAGUGGCGGACGGGUGAGUAAUGCAUGAGCAACCUGCCUCGAAGAGUGGAAUAACACAUGGAAACGUGUGCUAAUACCGCAUAAUGUGUACGGAGGGCAUCCUCUGUACAAGAAAGGGGAAACCCGCUUUGAGAUGGGCUCAUGUCUGAUUAGGUAGUUAGUGAGGUAACGGCUCACCAAAGCCUGCGAUCAGUAGCCGGACUGAGAGGUUGAACGGCCACAUUGGGGACUGAGAUACGGCCCAGAUCCUACGGAGGCAGCAGUGGGGAA